GUUCAUCUCCUCUCUUCCAUACCUUCUGUUCCAUUGCGCUGAAGAACCGAACCAAAUCCAAUCUCAAAUCCACUCUUCCAUUUCCUCUCUUCCAUUGCUCUGAAGAACCGAACCAAAUCAAAUCAAUCUAAAAUCCUCUCUUCCAUCUCCUCUCUUCCAUUUCUCUGAAGAACUGAACCAAAUCCAAUCAAUCUAAAACCACUGAAAUCAACCAGGUUUUAAGUUUCUACCAUAUUUUUCCUUUGCAUAAUCGUUUCAUUUCAGUUUAUUGAUUCUAGGGUUUUACGAUUUUAGAGAUUUUGAUUUCAGGGUUUCAACUGUGAAUCUUUUUUUUUCAUUUUAGUUUAUCGAUUUUUAGGUUUUCAUCUGUGAAUCUGUUUUUUUUUUGAUUUUAUGGAUUUUGAUUUCAGUUUUCGAUUUUAGUUUUUCGUUUGUGAAUCGAUUUUAGGGUUUCAUUUCAAUUAGGGUUUCCAAUUUUCUAUAAUUUUGAGCUUUUCUAAUUGAUUUCUUGUACUCAAAAAAUACAAGGAUGAACCAGUUGAGGAUGUUAUGGUAAGUGGAUCAAUCAAUUUUUUUAUUUUUUUUUGGUUUUUUUUUUUCUUUUUCUUUUUUGUAUAAUUUGUUUGAUUUUAUUUAUUGUGUUUGCAAUUGCAAUUGUGAUAUUUGUAAGAAUGUGAUGAAGUGGAUGUUGAAAAUAACAAUGAAUAUGAUGCUUCUGAGGGUGUGUUUGUAGAAGGUGUAUUGAAAAGGGUAUAAAUCUUAUUUUUGAUCUCUUAAUUAAUUUUGUUAGUCGUAUUAGUUGGAUUCACCUUGACUGUUCGCUCGACUUAAUUCAGCUGUCCUCAGAGUAAGAUAUUCUGCGGAUUCGAAUUACCAAGGGGAUAGUGCAUAUUUGGCUACAUGAACCAAUGAUCUCUCGACAGUUUCUUGGUCUUGUGGGCGGAGGGGACAUGUGUCAAUGGAGGGUCAAAGCUGUUUUAGUUAUAGGGUUCGUUUGCAUGCUGAAAAUGGCUUGUGCAUUGUGCAAAUUUGCUUUGAAAGCCAAGGGUUGCGGAUGAAUUAACUUGUGGGAAGAAGAUAAGUACACCUUAUUAUUUCCUUGUUUAUUACUCUCUCCGUUCCGAUUUACUUGACGUUGUAGAAUUUUUUCACGGUUAUUAAGAAAUAUCAGAGAGAGUAAAAUCUUCCCAAUAAAAUCCAUAUUAAUUCCUACUUACAGAUUUAAAUAACCUAGUUUUGUGUUUCUAGAAUAUAGAGAAAGUUAUCAAUCCCAUAAUAAUGUAGUUGGGAUGUACAAGAUUGAGUAUAUAUCCUUCAUGGGGUGUAUUUAAAAAUUAUAGAGUAAAUGUUUUUGUGCUGAUUACCAUGAGAAUUAAUUCUCUGGUGUGAUUCUAAAGCAGGGAUAUAUUAGUGAAAAUUGGGAAAGAAACUAAAACUAUCAUCUAAUUUGGAACACAAAAAAAACCCUGAAAAAGCAAGUAAAAUGGAACGGAGGGAGUAGCAUCUAAUAGAUGUCCUUGAAAUCUACUCUUGUAGACAAGUGUAUAUGAACUCCCAUUUUCAUGUCUUGUCUUGAAAUUGUUUGUUGAAUUGCAUCCAAAAUUUUGGUGCUUUUGUCAAGACUUUCAAAUCUUGUCGGUUUGGAAAAUACUGAGUCGCUGCCAUGGUACUAGCAAAUGUUUUCUAUUUAUUUCUUGCAAUACUUGCUCAUCUGAUAUUUGUUAGACCCUAUAGAAACUUAUGUAGUUAUUCAUAAUUUUACGUACCUUCACUGGAUUUCCUGUCAAUUUUGACACUAGGGUACAUCAUGAAUUGUGAAAAGGUUUAAUGACUUAGGUUUUACGUAUAGGGAUAGAAUAAAAUGUUAAUGGGAUUAUUGCCAUCUGGUAAAAAAUUGUAUCUGCAAAACCAAUUAAAAGGAAAGAGUAAUUCUUAAGUUCUCAAAAGCAUCUGCACUUCAGUGCUUUCCUGAAGCUUGAGAUUUUGAAUACAGAUGCGCGCCUGAUUUGUUAGUCGAUAGAAUUGGACCGUGAAUAUAUUCAUUUUUCUGAAGUUAUACUUCUCAUGUUUCAUUUAUAUUUUGAAGUGGUAGGUAAGACUUGUGGCAGUAUAUUUGAUUUGAAGCAAUGUGGCAGUGUAUUUUGAUUUGUACACGGUACGCGAGUAUCUUAGAUCAUUAGGAUCUCUCGAGAUACAAAACAGUAAAAUUAAACCGAUAAAUGUAAAUAGAACGAUGGGAUUUAACAGGUCAUGUCACCUCUUUGACUUUAUCAUGUUCUUUUAAAUAUCUUAUGUCGUAUUUGUCCGGAUUCUUGUAAGUUUGAAUGACUUGUUUAGUAUUUAUUGGAUAUUGAUACUGGCUAAUGUGGACUACAGGUUUUCUUAUCAGGAUUGUUGUUGUGUGCAGUAAAGAGCAUAGUUAAUGCUUGAAAAUGUGAAACUCCAUGAAUCCGGAGAAGUAGAUAAAUGGUGGUUGUCAAAUGACUACUUCCCUUCACAUAGUUAGGUAUCCAUUCAUCCAGAUCAUCAAAGCUUCCACAAUCCCUGUUAAGCUUUGCAAGAGAGAGAGCAAAAAACAAUUCCACAAGAAGGACAUCAAGUUCCCAUUGCUGCAGAACUGGUACAGGACGCCCAUGAGAAGGAGAGCUUGCUGCAGAAGAUUGCUGACCUGAUGGGAACCAUCAACACAAUAAACCACUUCGCCCUUCGUACUGAGAUUUAGUGGUGCAACCAGAGGUGCAGUUUGGGGAUCCAACAGAAGAAUAUCCUCUAGUGAUAUACUGGUGCUAAUGGAAAGAAAGGUGGUACAAGUUGGGCAUCAAGCAGCUUAUUUUUCGAAGGAGGGAAAGACCCCUGCAAGAUGAAGCGGCAAGAUGAUCAAAUGUCCAAGUCAAGUGCAUGCAAUUCAUCUCUUGUAGCAAGUUACCAAACCUACUCUUCAUGUUUUUGUAGAUGUAUAGAUCAUGUGUUGAUUUGCUGUGAUACUUGUACUUCAAACUUUCAAUUUCAUCUCGGUAAGUUUGUUGUGAUUCUUGUAUAUAUUUGUAUGUACUACU